rnacentral:rRNA from 1 species
CCUACGGGAGGCAGCAGGGAGGAAGAGGGGGAAAGGGAAGAGAGGAGGAAACAGCCAAGUAGCGUGAAGGAUGACUGCCCUAUGGGUUGUAAACUUCUUUUAUAAAGGAAUAAAACGAGGCACGUGUGCCUUUUUGCAUGUACUUUAUGAAUAAGGAUCGGCUAACUCCGUGCCAGCAGCCGCGGUAAUACGGAGGAUCCGAGCGUUAUCCGGAUUUAUUGGGUUUAAAGGGAGCGUAGAUGGGUUGUUAAGUCAGUUGUGAAAGUUUGCGGCUAAACCGUAAAAUUGCAAUUGAUACUGGCAGUCUUGAGUACAGUUGAGGUAGGCGGAAUUCGUGGUGUAGCGGUGAAAUGCUUAGAUACCACGAAGAACCCCGAUUGCGAAGGCAGAUUACUAAACUGUGACUGACAUUGAUGCUCGAAAGUGUGGGUAUCAAACAGGAUUAGAUACCCCAGUAGUC